ensembl:lncRNA
AAAAGUGCUAACCACCAAGCACACUGUGCACCCCAAGCAGAAGAUAUGUUAUCUAUAAAACAGGAUUGAGAAUUCACUUAAGUUUUGUAGGAUUGUGAUUUUAUUGAGACAGGCUUGAGUGAUAAUCUGACCUCUCAGCAGCACCAAAAUAUCCAAAGACAGUAGCUGAGGCACUGGAAGCACAGCAGCCAUCUUUUAUUUACAAGACAAGAGCUGUGAUGGUGGGUUUGGACUAAAGUGGAGACACAAGAUCCUUCACCUCACUCGGAGGAAGAUAUCUUCAGGCUUCAGCUCACCGUCUCUCUGGUAUUAAUCACAGCAUCUCCGUCUCGCCACGGGGGAAAUCUCCACCGCAACUCUUCACUUCAUCUGGAAUUAAUGCAAGAUGUCGGAGAAGGAUGGGAGAUUCUGAGCUGCCAAGAAUGGAAAGUCAGGUCACG